GGGGAUGAAAAGGUUUCGACAGGGGAGGCUGGGCUGGGACUGCAAGCCGAGGCGCCUGGACCUCGUAAAAACCGGGCAAAACCAAAAGUGCCAAACAGCGCACUCAACCGGCUCUCGCCCUCGCUGCCUAAGCGAUGGGGCGAUAGCCUGACCGCAUGACGGUCACGUCCGCCCUUUUCCGCCUCCGGGGGAAAGAUCGGCGGGCGACAGAAAACCGGGGGUGCAAGCCUGCCGACGCCGAUACGCAGGUCCACAGGCGGGGCAGCACCCCGCAUCGGCUGGUCUGAUCAGCAGCCUGUUGGCCGGCGGCUGGUCAGGCGAGAAAUCAAAAGGUCAACUAAGCUUGUAGAUGUCCCUGUCCGAAUCUUCUGGACGCGGGUUCGACUCCCGCCAUCUCCACCA
rnacentral:tmRNA from 1 species